rnacentral:lncRNA from 1 species
CAUGGAUAAGCACCAAGCUCAAGCUCUAUACUCCUCCACACAGCAAAUAGACCACCGUCACCGCCUCAUCCAAGCGCGUCGGCGUCGUGGCGGUGGCCCUCGGCCGGUGCCAUCCCGCCCUGGCGGUAUGUUGGACACCACAUUAAUUGGAAGUGGACACGAGGGGUGUUCGACGCUUUGUCUCACACACCUACCCGUGGCCUGUCGGACUCUCCUCGACAAGGUCCCGCCACUGGGAUUCGCAUCUCCGGUAGGUCGGCAGUCUCUUGCCUUAGCCGAACCCCAUCCACCGCGUGCAGUGUAGAUAUUGCUUACUCAUGUACAGGUACUCAUGCAGAAAUCUGGUUGCUACUGGCUCCAAGUCAUGGUAGUCCCAAAGGAAGUGGUCAGAUCAGCAGGCACAUUGUCAACCCUAAAAAAAAGUAUUCCCGCCUUGCAUUCUACCCAUGCAAUCUACAGGUGAUGGAACUGCACCUGAUCUUGUAGGAAAUGUAAUUAGAACGUUCAUGUUUGUGACUGCUCAUAUGAACAGCUUUUCUUGCCCAUCUUAUUUGACCAUGCUCGUCAGCUUUUGAUAAAUGACUUUGUUUUCCGUUUGUAUAUCCUUUUGAUAAGUCAUGGAUCGAGCUACCAAUAAGUUGAUAAGUAUUCCUCCGCAAGUAGUCGAAUUGGUUUUGCCAAUGUUGAAAUUAAUGCUGAUAAGGAGCUGACAAGCUAUUUUGUCCAUUGGAUUCACAGAAAUUAGAGAAGUGUUAUCUUUCUUGUAGACUGGUCAGAUAAAGACAUUGUUCUACUUUUUGCUA